rnacentral:rRNA from 1 species
UACGAAGGGGGCUAGCGUUGUUCGGAAUUACUGGGCGUAAAGGGCGCGUAGGCGGUCGUGACAAGUCACUUGUGAAAUCUCCGGGCUUAACUCGGAACGGUCAAGUGAUACUGUCGGACUAGAGUACAGAAGGGGCAACUGGAAUUCUCGGUGUAGCGGUGAAAUGCGUAGAUAUCGAGAGGAACACCUGCGGCGAAGGCGGGUUGCUGGGCUGAUACUGACGCUGAGGAGCGAAAGCGUGGGGAGCGAACAGG